rnacentral:rRNA from 1 species
AAGGAUCGCGCUACCAUGCAAGUCGAGGGGUAACGGGGAGCUUGCUCCGCCGACGACCGGCGCACGGGUGCGCACCGCGUAUGGAACCUGCCCUCUACAGGGGAAUAGCCCAGGGAAACUUGGAUUAAUGCCCCGUGGUACCAUUUAACGGCAUCGUUUGAUGGUUAAAGCCUUCGGGCGGUAGAGGAUGGCCAUGCGUCCCAUUAGUUAGUUGGUAGGGUAACGGCCUACCAAGACCGCGAUGGGUAGGGGCCCUGAGAGGGGGAUCCCCCACACUGGUACUGAGACACGGACCAGACUCCUACGGGAGGCAGCAGUGAGGAAUAUUGGACAAUGGGCGAGGGCCUGAUCCAGCCAUGCCGCGUGCAGGAAGAAUGCCCUAUGGGUAGUAAACUGCUUUUAUACGGGAAGAAAAAGGGGCACGUGUGCCCUGUUGACGGUACCGUAAGAAUAAGGACCGGCUAACUCCGUGCCAGCAGCCGCGGUAAUACGGAGGGUCCGAGCGUUAUCCGGAAUUAUUGGGUUUAAAGGGUCCGUAGGCGGGCCGGUAAGUCAGGGGUGAAAGUCUGUAGCUCAACUAUAGAACUGCCUUUGAUACUGCCGGUCUUGA